AGUGAACGCUGGCGGUAGGCCUAACACAUGCAAGUCGAACGGCAGCACAAGAGAGCUUGCUCUCUGGGUGGCGAGUGGCGGACGGGUGAGGAAUACAUCGGAAUCUACCUUUUCGUGGGGGAUAACGUAGGGAAACUUACGCUAAUACCGCAUACGACCUUCGGGUGAAAGCAGGGGACUGUCGGGCCUCGCGCGGAUAGAUGAGCCGAUGUCGGAUUAGCUAGUUGGCGGGGUAAAGGCCCACCAAGGCGACGAUCCGUAGCUGGUCUGAGAGGAUGAUCAGCCACACUGGAACUGAGACACGGUCCAGACUCCUACGGGAGGCAGCAGUGGGGAAUAUUGGACAAUGGGCGCAAGCCUGAUCCAGCCAUACCGCGUGGGUGAAGAAGGCCUUCGGGUUGUAAAGCCCUUUUGUUGGGAAAGAAAAGCAGCCAGUUAAUACCUGGUUGUUCUGACGGUACCCAAAGAAUAAGCACCGGCUAACUUCGUGCCAGCCGCCGCGGUAA
rnacentral:rRNA from 1 species